CCCUGCAGAAGUUCAGCCCUGAAGUCUCACGAAUGUUUUCCUGGAAACAGCAGCUUUGUCACACUGCAUUUUUGCUGACAGUAUUUCCUGUGGAAAGCCGCUCGAGGAAGAUCAGGUUAGAGAGCCUGAAUAUCCAUCAGCUACUUGUAGCUGAGAUAAUGAAAGCCGCCUUGUUACCAGCAUGCUUUGAAUUUUGAGUGCAUUCGUACACAUCGCCUUAUUAAACACAGCUCCUUGUUACCUGAAGUAUGAUCUCGCUCACGUUUCUGAAGCUCCCACCACCCAUCACUUGUGCUGCCCAGUUUGUGCCUCUCGCAGCACCUGAAGUCCCUUUAUCUUCUCUCUGUGCCUAAUUCUGGUAAUGACAUGUCACUGGCUGCCACAGGGGCUGCGGCCAGUGGUGCCUGGGACAAGAGCCACUGCUGGCUGAGAGACAAUGCUUUCAGUGAGAAAGGUGGAAUCAUCACUUUUCCAGCCUAUGACAGCAGGACAAUGACAGCCGUCACGAGGCAGUGGGGAGAGAUAAGCAUCCUUCCCUAAAGACUGAUGAGAGAGAAGAAGCGUGAGUAGGAGCAUAUUAAGUUAAUCUAACAGCUUGGCAUGGACUAGCUUCCCAUUUUCACAGAAGGAAAAAAAUACAGUGUAUAUGGUUUUCAAGAGUGACUGCUGUUUUGAUGAAGACAUGGAUAACUGCUUUUAUUCUGAAGUGUGGACUUCUGUACAGGUCCCCAGAGCAGGAAUUCAAGGGAAAAAGGAAGCUGGAUCAGUUAAUCAAAAGGAAAUAAAUCGUAUAACUCAAAAAUUUGUUAAAGGAGGAACUGAAAACUGGCUUGAGAAGAAUUCAACACAGAAGAAAAUUUUGGAUACAAUCAGGGAAGUAUCAGUGUUGGUUACAAGGCUGUCUUUUUCAACAGCAGCAGCAGCAACAGUUUCAAAACCAAAAUAGGGUAAGUUGCAAAUUCUUAUAAGUAACCAACUGUAGCUUCAACAUCACCCACCCUUUGAAUGCAAGGGCUUCUGGGGCACAGAAAGUAAAGGAGGAAUUCUAUCAAUGUUUUUUUACCUGUUUCUUCUGUGAGAAGUCAGAAUCUGUCCAGCUUUUUAAAUUAUAAGAACAAUUGCAGGUGAACAGGCCUUUAAAGGUCACUUCCAACUCUAAGGAUUCUAUGAUUCUAUGAUUUUAAUACUUCAUUCGUGUGAUCUACCUGUGCCAACGUGUACCAGAAACAGACUGUGGAUGCUAAAUCAAGAUCACUGCCUCUGGAUACAAAUUGUGACAUGAGAUGAAACUUGCUCUUUGAAAAUGUAUCCCUUAAAAUCAAUAUACAAUAGUAAUAUAUUUAUCGGUUACCACUUAUCUGUAUACCAAAUGCAACCAAGUAUUAAAUGUAAAUAAAAUAAAUCUCUUAAAAAUUGAUUUCCCA
rnacentral:lncRNA from 1 species